UACGGAGGGUGCAAGCGUUAUCCGGAUUCACUGGGUUUAAAGGGUGCGUAGGCGGGUAAGUAAGUCAGUGGUGAAAUCUUCGGGCUUAACUCGGAAACUGCCGUUGAUACUAUUUAUCUUGAAUAUCAUGGAGGUAAGCGGAAUAUGUCAUGUAGCGGUGAAAUGCUUAGAUAUGACAUAGAACACCGAUAGCGAAGGCAGCUUACUACAUGUUAAUUGACGCUGAGGCACGAAAGCGUGGGGAGCAAACAGG
rnacentral:rRNA from 1 species